AAAAUACUCCCUCCAUCUCAAAAUUCUUGUCUUAUAUUCGUCUAAAUACGGAUGUAUCAAGUCACGUUUUAGUAUUAGAUACAUCUGUAUCUAGACAAAUGUAAGAUAAAAAAUUAGAACCGAAGGAGUAGCAU
rnacentral:pre_miRNA from 1 species